rnacentral:rRNA from 1 species
UACGUAGGGUGCGAGCGUUGUCCGGAAUUAUUGGGCGUAAAGAGCUUGUAGGCGGUUUGUCGCGUCUGCUGUGAAAACCUAAGGCUCAACCUUGGGCUUGCAGUGGGUACGGGCAGACUAGAGUGCGGUAGGGGUGACUGGAAUUCCUGGUGUAGCGGUGGAAUGCGCAGAUAUCAGGAGGAACACCGAUGGCGAAGGCAGGUCACUGGGCCGCAACUGACGCUGAGGAGCGAAAGCAUGGGGAGCGAACAGG